AGAACCCCUGUUAGGGGAGUGAAAUAGUACCUGAAACCAAUUGCAUACAAAGUGUCGGAGCUUGACUUCGGUCAAGUGACGGCGUGCCUUUUGCAUAAUGAGUCUGCGAGUUAUUGUCUGUGGCGAGCCUAAGUUCUUCUGGAAUGGAGGCGAAGCGAAAGCGAGUGUGAAAUGCGCGUUUAGUGGCAGGCGAUAGACCCGAAGCGGAGGUGAUCUACUCAUGAGCAGGUUGAAGCUGCGGUAACACGCAGUGAAGGACCGAACCGGUGUAUGUUGAAAAAUGCUCGGAUGACUUGUGAGUAGGAGCGAAAGACUAAUCAAACCCCGUAAUAGCUGGUUCUCUCCGAAAUAGCUUGAGGGCUAGCGUCGGAUAAGUACUCCGAGGAGGUAGAGCGCUGGAUGGACUAGGGCCCAUACCCGGGUACCAAAACCAAUCAAACUCCGAAUGCCUCGGAUCUCAUUACCCCGGCAGUCAGUCGGCGAGGGAUAAGCUUCGUCGGCGCGAGGGAAACAUCCCAGACCGCCAGCUAAGGUGCCCAAAUAUGAUUAAGUGGAAAGGAUGUGACGUUGCUUAGACAGUGAGGAUGUUGGCUUAGAGGCAGCCACCAUUUAAACAAUGCGUAAUAGCUGACUCAUCGAGCGAUGUUGCGCCGAAAAUGAUUGGCGAUUAAAUCAUAUACCGAAGCUGCGGAUUUGCAGUGGAUUCGUCCGCUGUAAGUGGUAGGAGAGCGUAAUCAACGUUGUGAAGCUCGACGGUAACGGAAAGUGGAGCGUUGAUUAGUGAGAAUGCAGACAUGAGUAGCGAUUAACCAGAUGAGAAUUCUGGUCGCCGUAUACCCAAGGUUUCCUGGGCCAGGUUCGUCCUCCCAGGGUUAGUCGGGACCUAAGGCGAGGCCGUAAGGCGUAGUCGAUGGACAGCAGUUCAAUAUUCCUGCACCGGCUUGGGGUUAGUUGACCGUGACGCGGUGAGAAAGGUGGCUAAGUCAUCGAAAGACAGAGCCUAGACUUCGGUCGAAGCGUACCACUGGACGAUCCGUCGAGAAAAGCGAGUUAACAUGUGCCCCUGGUCGCCCGUACCGCAAACCGACACAGGUGGGUGAGUCGAAUAGACUAAGGCGCGCGAGAGAAACCACUCUAAGGAACUCGGCAAAAUAGCCCCGUAACUUCGGGAGAAGGGGUACCUGCUUUGCAGGUCGCAGUGACCAGGCCCAAGCAACUGUUUACCAAAAACACAGGUCUCCGCAAAGUCGAAAGACAACGUAUGGGGGCUGACGCCUGCCCAGUGCCGGAAGGUUAAAGAAGCUGGUCAUCUUCGGAGAAGCUAGCGACUGAAGCCCCGGUGAACGGCGGCCGUAACAAUAACGGU
rnacentral:rRNA from 1 species